rnacentral:rRNA from 1 species
AAAUUGAAGAGUUUGAUCAUGGCUCAGAUUGAACGCUGGCGGCAGGCCUAACACAUGCAAGUCGAACGGUAACAGGAAACAGCUUGCUGUUUCGCUGAUGAGUGGCGGACGGGUGAGUAAUGUCUGGGAAACUGCCCGAUGGAGGGGGAUAACUACUGGAAACGGUAGCUAAUACCGCAUAACGUCGCAAGACCAAAGAGGGGGACCUUCGGGCCUCUUGCUAUCGGAUGUGCCCAGAUGGGAUUAGCUAGUAGGUGGGGUAACGGCUCACC